AUGGCAGCGGCCCCGGGCGCUGAGCUCCCGGAGACCGGCUACAGGGAUCCCUCGGGCCGCUUGGCGCUGCGAGCUUUUCCGCGCCGCUGGCGGGGCGUUCCGGAGGCGCCGCGGCCACAGCGCCACCCAGUUCCCGCGAUCCUCCCCUCAACCGCCCAGAUCACUCAGCUCUCCGCAAGCCACUGCCUCCCCACCACCCACUCUGCUCGGGGAGAGGGAACUGAGGGGGUUGGGGCUGCCGGCCCUGGAGCGCUUCUGGGGCUCGGAGCCUGCCUGCCCGCCGGCGGGGACAAAUGCACCACGGAAGAGAAGUCAGGCCCGGAGAAGUUCAGGAACACCCAGAAGCCGCUGUCCUGCAUUCGGAAGGAUUGUCACUGGUCCAGCAUGAUGUUAGUUCCAGGAAGCUGCAAUGGAGAUGCGAGCUCAUCCAAGUUCACUGUGAAUUCGAUGUUUAGGAAGACAAAGGAACAUCUGCGCUGCGUGGUGGUAAGGAUACCACACCAGUUUUCUCAGAUGGACUGUGACUUGAAUCCUUGA
rnacentral:lncRNA from 1 species